AACGCUAGCUACAGGCUUAACACAUGCAAGUCGAGGGGCGGCAUGGUCUUAGCUUGCUAAGGCCGAUGGCGACCGGCGCACGGGUGAGUAACACGUAUCCAACCUGCCGUCUACUCUUGGACAGCCUUCUGAAAGGAAGAUUAAUACAAGAUGGCAUCAUGAGUCCGCAUGUUCACAUGAUUAAAGGUAUUCCGGUAGACGAUGGGGAUGCGUUCCAUUAGAUAGUAGGCGGGGUAACGGCCCACCUAGUCUUCGAUGGAUAGGGGUUCUGAGAGGAAGGUCCCCCACAUUGGAACUGAGACACGGUCCAAACUCCUACGGGAGGCAGCAGUGAGGAAUAUUGGUCAAUGGGCGAGAGCCUGAACCAGCCAAGUAGCGUGAAGGAUGACUGCCCUAUGGGUUGUAAACUUCUUUUAUAAAGGAAUAAAGUCGGGUAUGGAUACCCGUUUGCAUGUACUUUAUGAAUAAGGAUCGGCUAACUCCGUGCCAGCAGCCGCGGUAAUACGGAGGAUCCGAGCGUUAUCCGGAUUUAUUGGGUUUAAAGGGAGCGUAGAUGGAUGUUUAAGUCAGUUGUGAAAGUUUGCGGCUCAACCGUAAAAUUGCAGUUGAUACUGGAUAUCUUGAGUGCAGUUGAGGCAGGCGGAAUUCGUGGUGUAGCGGUGAAAUGCUUAGAUAUCACGAAGAACUCCGAUUG
rnacentral:rRNA from 1 species